CCUACGGGAGGCAGCAGUAGGGAAUCUUCCACAAUGGACGAAAGUCUGAUGGAGCAACGCCGCGUGAGUGAAGAAGGUUUUCGGAUCGUAAAACUCUGUUGUUGGAGAAGAAUGUAUCUGAUAGUAACUGAUCAGGUAGUGACGGUAUCCAACCAGAAAGCCACGGCUAACUACGUGCCAGCAGCCGCGGUAAUA
rnacentral:rRNA from 1 species